rnacentral:rRNA from 1 species
UACGGAGGGGGCGAGCGUUGUUCGGAAUUACUGGGCGUAAAGGGCGCGCAGGCGGCUCUGCAAGUCAGAUGUGAAAGCCCCGGGCUUAACCUGGGAAUUGCAUUUGAUACUCUGGAGCUUGAGUACGGGAGAGGAGAGUGGAAUUCCCAGUGUAGAGGUGAAAUUCGUAGAUAUUGGGAAGAACACCGGUGGCGAAGGCGGCUCUCUGGACCGUAACUGACGCUGAGGCGCGAAAGCGUGGGGAGCAAACAGG